UCUUUUCUAGUGUCUGUAUUUUAACAAUCAUGAUAUUUUUCUAUUUUAUAGGAUAAUAUCUCAGAUAAAGUGUUAUAAAUAAAUUUAACGUUAAGACCCAUGAGAAAGUUGUUAUGGGAUUAUGAACAUUUUUCAAAUGAUACAAACUGUGAGAUUAGAUAUAAUGGAUGUUUGGUGCAUUCCUUGGUUCCUUUACGGAUUGCAAUGAGCACAUCAAUAUCAGGUUGUACAAAGUUUUGGGAACUUAUCUUAGUUCCAUAACUUGUUUAUGAUGCUUGAACAUACCUGAGCUUCAGACUUGAAUUCUUUCUCUUUGGGUACAACUGAGUAAAUCUUGAGCCAUAUAAAGUUUCUUGGAUAGGGUGAGUUUGAGAAUUUUCUUCUAGUAGUGCAGAU
rnacentral:lncRNA from 1 species